CCCCUAGAUGUUCUGGGCCGCACGCGCGCUACACUGAACAGUUCAACAAGUCUUAACCUUGGCCGAUAGGUCUGGGUAAUCUUUGAACGCUGUUCGUGAUUGGGAUAGACCUUUGCAAUUAUGGGUCUUCAACGAGGAAUUCCUAGUAAACGCAAGUCAUCAGCUUGCAUUGAUUACGUCCCUGCCCUUUGUACACACCGCCCGUCGCACCUACCGAUUGAAUGGUCCGGUGAAAUCUUCGGAUCUGAGAGAUGUCUGAUUAAUUUCGGACGCCUUUUGGAAAAGUUGUUUAAACCUUNCNAUUUAGNGGAAGGUGAANUCGUANCA
rnacentral:rRNA from 1 species